GAUGAACGCUAGCGACAGGCUUAACACAUGCAAGUCGAGGGGCAGCAUAGAGGAUGUAGCAAUACAUUUUGGGUGGCGACCGGCGCGCGGGUGCGUAACGCGUAUGUAACUAACCUAUCAGAGGGGGAUAGCCCGGCGAAAGUCGGAUUAAUACCGCGUAAAACAGGGGUCCCGCAUGGGAAUAUUUGUUAAAGAUUAAUUGCUGAUAGACAGGCAUGCGUUCCAUUAGGUAGUUGGCAGGGUAACGGCCUACCAAGCCAUCGAUGGAUAGGGGUUCUGAGAGGAAGGUCCCCCACACUGGUACUGAGAUACGGACCAGACUCCUACGGGAGGCAGCAGUGAGGAAUAUUGGUCAAUGGCCGGGAGGCUGAACCAGCCAAGUCGCGUGAAGGAUGACGGCCUUAUGGGUUGUAAACUUCUUUUAGACAGGAAUAACGGGAGGUACGUGUACCUUUGUGAAUGUACUGUCGGAAUAAGCAUCGGCUAACUCCGUGCCAGCAGCCGCGGUAAUACGGAGGAUGCGAGCGUUAUCCGGAUUUAUUGGGUUUAAAGGGUGCGUAGGUGGGAUUUUAAGUCAGUGGUGAAAGUUUGUCGCUCAACGAUAAAAUUGCCAUUGAAACUGAGAUUCUUGAGUAUGAUUGAAGCAGGCGGAAUGCGAGGUGUAGCGGUGAAAUGCAUAGAUAUCUCGCAGAAACCCGAUUGCGAAGGCAGCCUGCUUAAGCCCUAACUGACACUGAAGCACGAAAGCGUGGGUAUCAAACAGGAUU
rnacentral:rRNA from 1 species